rnacentral:rRNA from 1 species
UACGUAGGGUGCGAGCGUUAAUCGGAAUUACUGGGCGUAAAGCGUGCGCAGGCGGUUUUGUAAGCCAGAUGUGAAAUCCCCCGGCUUAACCAGGGAACUGCGUCUGAUACUGGAUGGCUUGAGAUUGGGAGAGGGAUGCGGAAUUCCAGGUGUAGCGGUGAAAUGCGUAGAUAUCUGGAGGAACACCGGUGGCGAAGGCGGCAUCCUGGACCAACACUGACGCUGAUGAGCGAAAGCCAGGGGAGCAAACGGG